UUGUGUUCUCUUCUUGUUCCUUUGGUUCUCCGAUUCUUUCUUCUUCCUUUCUCAGAUUUUGCUCUUGAGUUCACUCCACUCCCUUAUAUUCAUGGUCACAUUGUAUUCCUGUUUUUCUAUCAUUCUAGGUAUGAUAGAAAAAACUACAAAAUUUUACAAAGGUUUCCGAUCUGCAAAUCAAAAGCAGCUUGAAGAUAGAGAUAGGUUGUUGCAGUUUGCUCCAGGUAGUUCAUCAGAAGUUCUCAUCACAUCCUGCAGAUUCAUGAAUUCGGGUUGUUGAUGGUAUUGAUCUGGUUCACAAGUUUAAAGAAAACUACCAGAAUUCUCUAUGCAAUGAGAAAAAUACGAAAGCAUGUGCAUAUAAAAACAAAGUUAUUGACAAUUGGAGGACAUUGAGAUCUUGUGUGGGAGGAAUAGAGCUCCUAGAGUUGGUGCAAAAUAUAUGGAUGAUGCAGUUGAAGUUAUGAUUGAGGAAGGAGAAAAGUGAUGAAUUCUCCUAUUGCACAACAACACGUCAACAUUUGGUAUCAAUAAGUUAUGCAAUUGAACCUUGCCAAAGAAAAAAAAGUAGAAAAUAUCCACUUCAAAACAAUUUUUUAGC